rnacentral:rRNA from 1 species
GAUGAACGCUAGCGGCAGGCCUGACACAUGCAAGUCGCGGGGCAUCGCGGCGGUGGCGACACCGCCGGCGGCGACCGGCGCACGGGUGCGUAACGCGUGAGCAACCUGCCCGGCACAGGGGGAUAACCGCCGGAAACGGCGCCUAAUACCCCGUGACACAGGAGGGGGCAUCCCCUCCUGUUGAAAGCCCUUUACGGGCGGUGCCGGAUGGGCUCGCGUGGCAUUAGCUAGUCGGCGGGGUAGCGGCCCACCGAGGCUACGAUGCCUAGGGGUUCUGAGAGGAAGGCCCCCCACACUGGGACUGAGACACGGCCCAGACUCCUACGGGAGGCAGCAGUGAGGGAUAUUGGACAAUGGGCGGAAGCCUGAUCCAGCCAUGCCGCGUGAAGGACGACGGCCCUACGGGCCUUAAACUUCUUUUGGCGGGGAGCAAUAAGGGCC